ACCAAGACAAAUACUCAAGUGGAAACGCAUCCUCCUCCCCCAAACCCUCCUCUCUGUAAACCAUUCUUUUCUCCGACCACAAAACCUCCGAUCAACGACGAUUCUGCUAUAUCACAACCCAUCGCCGUUGAAAAUGGUCUGUGUUUUAUUCUCCUGAUUUCCAAAGUGGAUGUCCCAAGCUGACGUCUGCUACAGGAUUUAGCGCUGCAGCAGAGUGUGAUCGACAAACCCAGUAAUAAGCUUCCCUAUAUGAUUUCUUAGACUGUUACAGGUUUCUCGGCUUGGUGCUCAGGGUCUUAUUUGUUGUGUGGGCUGGGUGUAUGGUUCUGGGGAACCUACCUAUUCUGUUGUGAUGGGCUGGGG